GGUCUCGUAGUGUAGCGGUUAACACGCCUGCCUGUCACGCAGGAGAUUGCGGGUUCGAUUCCCGUCGAGACCGCCA
rnacentral:tRNA from 2 species